AUAAUUUUUAAAUGUAUAUUAAAGUGGCAGUAAAUGAAAAAUCCAAGUAGAUAUUUGAGAAUCACGCUUUAUAAACUGCUGGCCGGAGGAAGUGGGGGCGUGUAGCUAACGUUACGUGUUUUGGUGCAUGUCUGGAGCUUUAUAUUCCAGCAUGAAGCAGUACACUUUAUCAGCAAAAAAGCGUCUGGCCAAGCCGCUGCUGUUCGGCGCUUUACUCACAGGACUUGCAACAGCGUUCUAUAACAGGCAUUUGUUCUUUGAAGACCUGGCAGAAAUUCGGGAGCAGGAGCGAGCUCGCACUGAUGCCAAACUUUUAGAAGUGUUAGAAAGAAGACAGAAACAAAUGGAAGAGCUGGAGUCAAAGAAAAGUGCUGGGGACAGGUGAGCUUAUCACACACCUCCAGGCAAAGGUAAUCAGAGUGACACUGACGGGGGUUAGGAGUUUAAGUUUUGUGAUGAACUGAAAAAUUUAUGACAGCUAUAAAGAAAAAUGGUGAAUUAGGAAUAAAAAAAGAAGUCAACAGAAGGACCUUCAAUUUUCUGUGGACUGGAAGCUCAAUUUGACUCUGGACACCUCCUCACUACUGAAGUGUAAUCACAGGAUUGAAGAUCUGAAGAUUCCCAAGACAGGCGAACAAAAACAAACUGUAUUACUGUUGGUUAUGUGAGUUCCUAAUUUGUUUAAUAUAUAAGCUUAAAUAAGAUGCAUUUUCUCUCUCAGUGUAAAACAUUAACUCACAAUAAAGAUAAGUGUUAUAGUGUGUUCCAUGAUGAAUGCUUCUUUUGAAGUGCAUUUCCUCUGCCUAUUAUCUGCCCAAUAAUGGGAUUACAGUGUACAAAAUCAGAAUACUGCUUACAUUUAAUUUCUGUAAGAAUAUCUACAAGUAAAAAUCUAAAAUAUACAUGAAAGUGUUUUGAGCAAAAGCUGAACAUUUUCAGUGAAAGAUGAAUGUAAAUGUUCACAUUAGUGAGAAAAUGGAAAUGUUUGUAUGUUUUUAAAAUAAAGAAAUCAACUCUUUA